UACAUUUAGUAUAGUAAAUACAUUAAAUUUAGAAUUUAAAAAUUAAAAUGUGUUAU
rnacentral:tRNA from 1 species